rnacentral:rRNA from 1 species
AGUGAACGCUGGCGGCAGGCCUAAUACAUGCAAGUCGAGCGGACACACAGUAAGCUUUCGCCUCUAACGGUAGCGGGUGGCGGAUGAGUAACGCAUAGAUAACCUACCUAUUAUACGUGGAGGACUUCGUAGGACAACUGCUGCUACCACAGAAUAUGUUCUACCGGUUAAAGCAAUGGAGCAACGCACCUUUCGUGUCUGAAUUAGCUGGUUCCGCGCCGCAUUAGCUAGUUGGUAAGGUAACGGCUUACCAAGGCAACGAUGCGUAGCCGACCUGAGAGGGUGAUCGGCCACACUGGAACUGAGACACGGUCCAGACUCCUACGGGAGGCAGCAGUAGGGAAUCUUCCGCAAUGGGCGAAAGCCUGACGGAGCAACGCCGCGUGAGUGAUGAAGGUCUUCGGAUCGUAAAACUCUGUUAUUAGGGAAGAACAAAUGUGUAAGUAACUAUGCACGUCUUGACGGUACCUAAUCAGAAAGCCACGGCUAACUACGUG